rnacentral:rRNA from 1 species
AGUGAACGCUGGCGGUAGGCCUAACGCAUGCAAGUCGAACGGCAGCACAGUAAGAGCUUGCUCUUACGGGUGGCGAGUGGCGGACGGGUGAGGAAUACAUCGGAAUCUACUUUUUCGUGGGGGAUAACGUAGGGAAACUUACGCUAAUACCGCAUACGACCUACGGGUGAAAGCAGGGGAUCUUCGGACCUUGCGCGAUUGAAUGAGCCGAUGUCGGAUUAGCUAGUUGGCGGGGUAAAGGCCCACCAAGGCGACGAUCCGUAGCUGGUCUGAGAGGAUGAACAGCCACACUGGAACUGAGACACGGUCCAGACUCCUACGGGAGGCAGCAGUGGGGAAUAUUGGACAAAGGGCGCAAGCCUGAUCCAGCCAUACCGCGUGGGUGAAGAAGGCCUUCGGGUUGUAAAGCCCUUUUGUUGGGAAAGAAAAGCAGCAGGUUAAUACCCCGCUGUUCUGACGGUACCCAAAGAAUAAGCACCGGCUAACUUCGUG